rnacentral:rRNA from 1 species
CAUAUCAAUAAGCGGAGGAAAAGAAACCAACAGGGAUUGCCCCAGUAACGGCGAGUGAAGCGGCAACAGCUCAAAUUUGAAAUCUGGCCCCAGGCCCGAGUUGUAAUUUGCAGAGGAUGCUUUUGGCGCGGUGCCUUCCGAGUUCCCUGGAACGGGACGCCAUAGAGGGUGAGAGCCCCGUACGGUUGGACACCAAGCCUUUGUAAAGCUCCUUCGACGAGUCGAGUAGUUUGGGAAUGCUGCUCUAAAUGGGAGGUACAUUUCUUCUAAAGCUAAAUAUUGGCCAGAGACCGAUAGCGCACAAGUAGAGUGAUCGAAAGAUGAAAAGCACUUUGAAAAGAGGGUUAAACAGCACGUGAAAUUGUUAAAAGGGAAGCGCUUGUGACCAGACUUGCGUCCGGUGAAUCACCCAGCUCUCGCGGCUGGGGCACUUCGCCGGCACAGGCCAGCAUCAGCUUGCCGUCGGGGACAAAAGCUUCAGGAACGUAGCUCCUCUCGGGGAGUGUUAUAGCCUGUUGUAUAAUACCCUUCGGCGGGCUGAGGUACGCGCUCCGCAAGGAUGCUGGCGUAAUGGUCAUCAGCGACCCGUCUUGAAACACGGACCAAGGAGUCAACCUUAUGUGCGAGUGUUUGGGUGUUAAACCCCUACGCGUAAUGAAAGUGAACGCAGGUGAGAGCUUCGGCGCAUCAUCGACCGAUCCUGAUGUUCUCGGAUGGAUUUGAGUAAGAGCAUAUAGGGUUGGACCCGAAAGAAGGUGAACUAUGCGUGUGUAGGGUGAAGCCAGAGGAAACUCUGGUGGAGGCUCGCAGCGGUUCUGACGUGCAAAUCGAUCGUCAAACAUGCGCAUGGGGGCGAAAGACUAAUCGAACCUUCUAGUAGCUGGUUCCGC